AUUGAAUGCUGGCGGCAUGCCUUACACAUGCAAGUCGAACGGCAGCACGGGAGCAAUCCUGGUGGCGAGUGGCGAACGGGUGAGUAAUAUAUCGGAACGUGCCCAGUCGUGGGGGAUAACGUAGCGAAAGCUACGCUAAUACCGCAUACGAUCUAUGGAUGAAAGCGGGGGAUCGCAAGACCUCGCGCGAUUGGAGCGGCCGAUAUCAGAUUAGGUAGUUGGUGAGGUAAAGGCUCACCAAGCCGACGAUCUGUAGCUGGUCUGAGAGGACGACCAGCCACACUGGGACUGAGACACGGCCCAGACUCCUACGGGAGGCAGCAGUGGGGAAUUUUUGGGACAAUGGGCGCAAGCCUGAUCCAGCCAUGCCGCGUGCAGGAUGACGGUCCUAUGGAUUGUAAACUGCUUUUGUACAGGAAGAAACACUGGUUCGUGAACCAGCUUGACGGUACUGUAAGAAUAAGGAUCGGCUAAC
rnacentral:rRNA from 1 species